rnacentral:rRNA from 1 species
AGAGUUUGAUCCUGGCUCAGGACGAACGCUGGCGGCGUGCUUAACACAUGCAAGUCGAACGAUGAAGCCUAGCUUGCUAGGUGGAUUAGUGGCGAACGGGUGAGUAAUACGUGAGUGACCUACCUUUGACUCUGGGAUAAGCCUGGGAAACUGGGUCUAAUACCGGAUACGACCAAUCUCCGCAUGGGGUGUUGGUGGAAAGCGUUAUGGAGUGGUUUUAGAUGGGCUCACGGCCUAUCAGCUUGUUGGUGAGGUAAUGGCUUACCAAGGCGACGACGGGUAGCCGGCCUGAGAGGGUGACCGGCCACACUGGGACUGAGACACGGCCCAGACUCCUACGGGAGGCAGCAGUGGGGAAUAUUGCACAAUGGGCGCAAGCCUGAUGCAGCGACGCCGCGUGAGGGAUGACGGCCUUCGGGUUGUAAACCUCUGUUAGCAUCGAAGAAGCGAAAGUGACGGUAGGUGCAGAGAAAGCGCCGGCUAACUACGUGCCAGCAGCCGCGGUAAUACGUAGGGCGCGAGCGUUGUCCGGAAUUAUUGGGCGUAAAGAGCUUGUAGGCGGUUGGUCGCGUCUGCUGUGAAAGGCUGGGGCUUAACCCCUGGUUUUGCAGUGGGUACGGGCUAACUAGAGUGCAGUAGGGGAGACUGGAAUUCCUGGUGUAGCGGUGGGAAUGCGCAGAUAUCAGGAGGAACACCGAUGGGCGAAGGCAGGUCUCUGGGCUGUAACUGACGCUGAGAAGCGAAAGCAUGGGGAGCGAACAGGAUUAGAUACCCUGGUAGUCCAUGCCGUAAACGUUGGGCACUAGGUGUGGGGGACAUUCCACGUUUUCCGCGCCGUAGCUAACGCAUUAAGUGCCCCGCCUGGGGAGUACGGCCGCAAGGCUAAAACUCAAAGAAAUUGACGGGGGCCCGCACAAGCGGCGGAGCAUGCGGAUUAAUUCGAUGCAACGCGAAGAACCUUACCAAGGCUUGACAUAUACUGGACUGCGUCAGAGAUGGCGUUUCCCUUCGGGGCUGGUAUACAGGUGGUGCAUGGUUGUCGUCAGCUCGUGUCGUGAGAUGUUGGGUUAAGUCCCGCAACGAGCGCAACCCUCGUUCUAUGUUGCCAGCACGUGAUGGUGGGGACUCAUAGGAGACUGCCGGGGUCAACUCGGAGGAAGGUGGGGAUGACGUCAAAUCAUCAUGCCCCUUAUGUCUUGGGCUUCACGCAUGCCACAAUGGCCGGUACAGAGGGUUGCGAUACUGUGAGGUGGAGCUAAUCCCUAAAAGCCGGUCUCAGUUCGGAUUGGGGUCUGCAACUCGACCCCAUGAAGUCGGAGUCGCUAGUAAUCGCAGAUCAGCAACGUUGCGGUGAAUACGUUCCCGGGCCUUGCACACACCGCCCGUCAAG